UUGGCCUUCCAAAGUGCUGGGAUUACUAGGCAUGAGCCACCAUGCCCAGCCUUCCCCGGUAUUCUUUAUUCUGCCUGGUGUCUGCUUUGGGAAGUUCACGGACUGAUGGGACAAACAUGCACAAUCAUACAAGGAAGCUGGGGGUGCCAGGAGGGCUGCACUAAGGCCCUGAGACCCCCCUACAUCGGGGGUCUGCCCAGACCCUGCAUGGCCUCCGACUGGGUGGGUAAAUCCAAUCUGGGGUUGGUAUUAGGAAACCACUUGUUUGCAGGUAUUAUAUGCCACAUUCUCCAAUAUCAAUUUUAUAAGAAAUAGAGCUGAUGCAUUUGGUCUCCAUCUGCCUAGAUUCUUUGUCUCAUUUCUCAAUGGGCUCAGAACUUACAGCGGCAGGGUGCUCUUUUGGGGGCCAUAUUGAACUCCAGUAGUGACAGUUAGGUCAGCCCUAAUGUCUGACAGUUAAAAGAAAAAGAAUGUCAGGCCAAUGCUAUGUAUCCAAAAUGGUGGUCUCUGAAGUUGGGGAGCAGUGGGUGAACUUUCCUGGCACAGGGAACCGAAAACACAAGAGGCUUAGAAGUGGGAAGGCACAAGAGUGUCUGAAGACUGUGAAACCCUGAAGCUGCUGGAAUACCAGGUGAGGAAAGAGGGGUUGAGAAGAAGCUAGAGAAAUAGCCAGACCAAUUCAAGCAGGGGUUGCAAGGCUACAGAAAAGUUUGCAUUGUGUUCUAAAUGCUAUGGGAAGUCGCUGAAGGAUCUUAAGCAGGGCAAUGAUGCGGGUCUGUUCACUCCUUCAGAAGUCGCUCUUUUUAACUCUGUAGAGAAUGGUCUGGCUGUGGCCCCCGAGAAUAGAUGAAGAGAGAAGACUCAGGAGACUUUUGCACUAGUCCAGGGCAAGUCUAGAUGAUGCUUACCUAGACCACGAUAGAAGCAAUAAACCACUGGAGGGAAAGCCUCAGAUGGGAGAGAUCACUGGGAGAGCGAAGCCCCGGAAUCUGCUGAUGAAUUGGAUGUCGGGGGAGAGGGAAGAAUUGGGGAUGAAUCCUAAGUUCUGGCUUCAUGAGUGGAUGGGUGUUGACGCCAUUUAUAGGGAUGUGAAGACCGGGAGGAUCCUGGGGAAGACCUUUACAUUUCAGGUGUUUUAAGGCUUCUUGGAGGCAAUAUCAGGUAAGCAGUUGGAUACAGGAGCUGACUCUCAGAGGGUCUUGAGGAACCCUGGCAUUGAGAGGCAUGUGUGGGAGGACAUCCACGCAGAGGGGACAAGCGACCACAUCCAUGUCAUCCUGCCUGGACAGUUAUUUGGCUAGAGGACACUAAUGACACAGCUAUCGUGUAUUAUUCAGCAGGGCUUGGGGCUGGAUGAUAUAGACAGCUUCCUUUGGAAAAUUCUGUCUAGGAAGCCCAGCAUUAUAAAGGAUUAUUGUAUGAUUUCAUUUUGGGGAAAUUUUCAUAACUUCUAGGAUAUUUUUUCUUCUCUAUACGAUACGUAGUUGUCAGUCAUUUUCUCAUUGAGGGCAAAAGUCGCAGAAGGCUUUUUAUUCAUUAUUAUUAAUGUCCUUUGAAAAAAGACCCUUUAAUUAAUGUUCCUAUUGGGCACAGAGCUUUUUAAAGACACCACUCCCUCCCUAACACACACAGCUGUGUUUUAUAGACUAAUUGUCACCUAACCAAGGGACCCCACAGGGAUCUGCAAUUUGUCCCACCUCUGCCCUGCCACACUUCCCUGCAACGCUCCUAAUUGCUGAAUCCCAUUCAGCCUCAUGAAAGUGGUGGCCGAUAUUUAAAGUUCAUUUCAGGAAGGCUUCAUAAUAACUGGGGAAAAUAACAUAAUCUCGUUUUAAAACAUUUCCUUCCUCUGUUCUGCUGAUAGAAUCAAACAAUCCAGAGUUCCAUCUGUCCUGUCACAGGUCCAGAUUUUAGGAUGUGGUUUUGAAGUUACUUGUUUUCUUUGUUUCAGGGCACCUCUGGUGGGAUUCCCUCCCCUUCUGGAUGGGUGCAGGCUGUACCACUUGUCCCUUGGAUUUGCAAUUCCAGGAGGAAAAUAAUGAGCCAGCAUUGUGGGAAAAUGUCACUCUGCCCCAGUGAUCAGUCUCUAAGACUGGGGAGGGAAGUCAAGCUUGAAACGGCAGAGUGGAUUUUCUCUUCAAGGAGCACUUUUAAAGAAAACAAAGGCUUCUGUGAUCAAUAUUUUAUGUCAAACAUCCUGUGAGGAUGAAGGGCCCUUCUAUGCUUCACCAUUUUAACCUCUCAUUUGGAAAAGCAAAAAGGCCUGGGAGAAGCUGCGUUCGCAAAAUCUCUCCUGGAUGACUUGUUCAGAAGCCAGUUCAGUAAAUUCAAACUGUUCCAGAGUCCCCUUUUGAAAACCACAGAUGCCGUGGACCCACUAAGGUGAGGACGCAGUGUUUGUCCCCUCCAGGAGACACAGUGUUCAAGGCGCCAUCUUGGAAGCAGAGACCAAGCCCUUGCCAUACUAAACAGGCUAGCACUGUGAUCUUGGACUUGUCAGCCUCCACAAUGGCUCACAGUUAGACUACAUUCCUAGCCUCCUGAAGAGUUAGGUACAGCUGUGUGACUGAAUUCCUGCCAAUGAAAUGUGGUGAGAACCACUUCCAGGCCUGGCCCACAGAAACCUCCCAUAGACAAUUCUUCAUCCUCUUUCCUUUUGCAUCAGGCCUGAUACAGAAGAGCAUGACAACUUUGGAACCCCUGCAUAGAAAGCGGAGAAGCCACAAGCUGAGGAGCUUCUGGAUUCUUCCAAUUUUAGCAGUCCUUCCAAUUUUAGCUCUGGAUUUUGUUCAAAUGAGAAACAAAUCCCAACAUUUCCAAAGCAAGUAAUAUUGUACAAUCAUAAGUCAUUUCAAAAUCACAGAGAAAAGUAGCAAUCUUCCCAAAGAAUUAAGAAAGUCUGCUAGGCCACGAAACAAGUGUUAAUAAAUUUGAAAAGACUGACUGAAAUUAUACCUCAUAUCUUUUCUAAUCAUAGUGAACUGGAACCAGAAAUUAAUAACAGAAGGAAAGCUGGAAAAUCCACAAAUACGUGGAAAUUAAACAAUACACUCUCAAACAACCAAUAGGUUAAAGAAGAAAUCAUAAAAGAAAUUAGAAAAUAUCUUGAGAUAAAUGAAAAAGAGAACACAACAUAACAAAGCUUAUGGGAUGCAGUAAAGGCAGUGCUAAGAGGGCAAUUUAGAGCUGUAAAUGCUUACACCAGAAAGGGAGAAAGACCUGAAAUCAACAAGUUCACUUUACACCUUAUGGAUCUAGAAAAAGAAGAACAAACUAACCUCAAAGCUAGCGAAGGAAGGAAAUAAUGAGAAAAGGACAGAGAUAAACAAAGUAGAGACUAGAAAAACAACAGAGAAAAUGAAUGAAACCAAGAGUCGUUUCUCUGAAAAAAUCAACAAAAUUGACCAACCUUUAUCUACAUUAACUUAGGAAAAAAAAGAAAAAAAGAAAGAGAAGACUCAAAUAAAUCAGAAAUGAAAGAGGGACAUUACAACCAAUUUCACAGAAAUAGACAGUCUUUUAAGAGAAUACUGUGAUCAGCUGUGUGCCAAAACUUUCAAUAACCUGAAUGAAAUGGAUACAUUCUAGAAACACACAACCUAUCAAGACUGAAUAAUGAACAUAUAGAAAAUCUGAACAGACCUUAAUAAAGAGAUUGAAUCAGUAUCAAAAAAGCUUCCAAAAUAGAAAAGCCCAGGACCAAAUGUCUUCCCUGGUGAAUUCAACCGAACAGUUAAAGAAGAAUUAACACCAACUCUCCUCAAACUCUGCAAAAAAAAAUUGAACGGGAAGGAAACCUUCCACACUUAUUCCACGAGGUCCUCAAUACCCUGAUACCAAGGGCAAACAAAGACACUACAAGAAAAGAAAGCUAUAAACUAAGAUCAUGGCUAAAUAUUGAUGCAAACAUCCUAAA